rnacentral:rRNA from 1 species
UACGUAGGGCGCAAGCGUUGUCCGGAAUUAUUGGGCGUAAAGAGCUCGUAGGCGGCUUGUCACGUCGAUUGUGAAAGCCCGAGGCUUGAACCUCGGGUCUGCAGUCGAUACGGGCUAGCUAGAGUGUGGUAGGGGAGAGUCGGAAUUCCUGGUGUAGCGGUGAAAUGCGCAGAUAUCAGGAAGAACACCCGUGGCUAAGGCGGCUCUCUAGUACGGUACUGACGCUGAGACGCGAAAGCGUGGGGAGCGAACAGG